rnacentral:rRNA from 1 species
CCUACGGGUGGCUGCAGUGGGGAAUAUUGGACAAUGGGCGAAAGCCUGAUCCAGCCAUGCCGCGUGUGUGAAGAAGGCCUUCGGGUUGUAAAGCACUUUCAGUGGGGAAGAAAGCCUUGGGGCUAAUACCCUCGAGGAAGGACAUCACCCACAGAAGAAGCACCGGCUAACUCCGUGCCAGCAGCCGCGGUAAUACGGAGGGUGCGAGCGUUAAUCGGAAUUACUGGGCGAAAAGCGCGCGUAGGCGGUCUGAUAAGCCGGUUGUGAAAGCCCCGGGCUCAACCUGGGAACGGCAUCCGGAACUGUCAGGCUAGAGUGCAGGAGAGGAAGGUAGAAUUCCCGGUGUAGCGGUGAAAUGCGUAGAGAUCGGGAGGAAUACCAGUGGCGAAGGCGGUCUUCUGGACUGACACUGACGCUGAGGUGCGAAAGCGUGGGUAGCAAACAGGAUUAGAUACCCUUGUAGUC